CUUGCUUGCAAGAAAGAAAACAUAUAUUUUGUCCAUUAUUCUUUAAAAAUUAUAUGGUUACAACUAUACGAGUUUUUAACUUAUCGUUUCUUAUCAAUUUUGCAUUAAUAUUCUUUUAUUUUAAAGACUAUUUUUAUGUUAUUAUUAUGUGUUUAGUAAAACAUUGUUUCAAAUUCAUUGAGAAACGAUCUUCAAGUAAUUUCUAAGCGCAAGUUUGAUGCGCAAGAAUGCUGUUUAUGCUGUAACUGUUAUGUAACGUUAUUAUGUAAUCGUCUAGUUGUUACUAAGCAGAGCGUAUGUAACAAGGAAGACUCUAAAGGCUUACAUUCUUUGCUCUGUGUUGUAUGAGUACUACUCCCAAGUAUCAUGUGAAAUCAAUUCAUAACAAGAUGAAUUGAGAUAUUAACACGCACAUAUGCAUGACGCAUCGAUCGUUGGAGAAGUCCGUACGAUUCAAGAGUCCUUGUUCACGAAAGAUUGACACGCAAUUAAAUCACGUCCGAACGCGAUCCUCCCAUAUUGAAAAUUUGCUGUUAUAGAAUCUGUCAUCGUCACGGUAAUCAAGGCUAGUGGAGUUCUUCAAGUGUUGACGAGCAGUUUAAUAAUUCCGAUUCGUUCCCACGCGAGCAACAAAUCACAAUAAAUGUAACAGUUUCAUUCCAGAUGACAGAAAAUAAUUCAGGCACGAAAUGUAGGAGUAAUAAUAGACGUAAGGCACGUAACAGCUUUAAGUAACGAAAACACGAAAAUACCACGUAAAAUAUGGUAGCGUAAUAUAAUUUUAUGAGGCAGCAUUUGUUUUGCACCAAAUAAUAUAUGAUAUAUUUAACAUAAAUAAUACAGGAAAUGUAUAUUCUCCAUCUGUUACCGGGAUUGUAUAUACCGGAAUGACACAGAAAUAUGUAUGUAAUAUGUGCACCUAUGAGGUAUCCCUACACAGGGAUUUUUCGUUGUGGAAACUCUGAUCCUUCUGAGACAACGCGCAGCUUUAUCAGGAACGGGUCUCGUGUGGUCAUCCUGCGAAAACGAAUGACACCCGUUUUUGCUGAAAUCCCAAUAUAAAGUGGCCUCCGCCCUCACUUCGUUAUCCUAGCGCGAUUAUCCCAUUCGAAACUUCAUGCCUGGACUAAAUUCGAUAUCUUUACCACUAGAGAAAAAAAAGAAAAGUAGAAAUAAGAUAUGUGUAGAUAUAGAUGGUUGUAUAAUUAUUUAUUUAUCUUAAAUUUAUCUUAAUUUUAAAUUUAUCUUAAUUUUAAGUAGAAAUAAGAUAUGUGUAGAAAUAAGAUAUGUGUAGAUGAUUGUAUAAUUAUUUAUUUAUCUUAAAUGUAUCUUAAUUUUAAUUUUGGAUAUUUUGACAUAAUAAUAAAAAAACUUUUACUUAAUAAAAUGUUAUGUAUAUGUUUCUAUAUAAAACAUAAGAUGUAAUACAAUCUAACAUAUUCCUCAUAAAAACCACUAGAGAAAAAAAAGAAAAGUAGAAAUAAGAUAUGUGUAGAUAUAGAUGGUUGUAUAAUUAUUUAUUUAUCUUAAAUUUAUCUUAAUUUUAAAUUUAUCUUAAUUUUAAGUAGAAAUAAGAUAUGUGUAGAAAUAAGAUAUGUGUAGAUGAUUGUAUAAUUAUUUAUUUAUCUUAAAUGUAUCUUAAUUUUAAUUUUGGAUAUUUUGACAUAAUAAUAAAAAAACUUUUACUUAAUAAAAUGUUAUGUAUAUGUUUCUAUAUAAAACAUAAGAUUGUAAUACAAUCUAACAUAUUCCUCA